rnacentral:rRNA from 1 species
UACGAAGGGGGCUAGCGUUGUUCGGAUUUACUGGGCGUAAAGCGCACGUAGGCGGAUCGAUCAGUCAGGGGUGAAAUCCCAGAGCUCAACUCUGGAACUGCCUUUGAUACUGUCGAUCUGGAGUAUGGAAGAGGUGAGUGGAAUUCCGAGUGUAGAGGUGAAAUUCGUAGAUAUUCGCAAGAACACCAGUGGCGAAGGCGGCUCACUGGCCCGGUACUGACGCUGAGACGCGAAAGCGUGGGGAGCGAACAGG